rnacentral:rRNA from 1 species
GAUGAACGCUAGCGGCAGGCUUAAUACAUGCAAGUCGAGGGGCAGCAUGGGUAGCAAUACCUGAUGGCGACCGGCAAACGGGUGCGGAACACGUACGCAACUUUCCCAGAACUGGUGAAUAGCCCUCCGAAAGGAGGAUUAAUACACCGUAAGAUAGAGAUGUGGCAUCACAUUUUUAUUAUAGCUCCGGCGGUUUUGGAUGGGCGUGCGCCUGAUUAGGUAGUUGGCGGGGUAACGGCCCACCAAGCCUACGAUCAGUAACUGGUGGGAGAGCACGACCAGUCACACGGGCACUGAGACACGGGCCCGACUCCUACGGGAGGCAGCAGUAAGGAAUAUUGGUCAAUGGACGCAAGUCUGAACCAGCCAUGCCGCGUGAAGGAUGAAGGCCCUCUGGGUUGUAAACUUCUUUUAUCUGGGACGAAAAAGGGGCAUUCUUGCUCAACUGACGGUACCAGAGGAAUAAGCACCGGCUAACUCCGUGCCAGCCGCCGCCGUAAAAC